rnacentral:ncRNA from 2 species
GGUCAUGAGCGCCAGCGCACAGCCCCGGCUUGCUGGCCGGCAACCCUCCUCGCGGUGGGGUGCCCCGGGUGAGGACCGGGCCGGGCGGGAUCCACGCCCCGGCAAGCGCGAGCA